AUUGAACGCUGGCGGCCGGCCUAACACAUGCAAGUCGAACGGAGCGGCGGACGGGUAAUUAAUGCCUAGGCAUCUGCCUGGUAGUGGGGGAUAACGUCCGGAAACGGGAGCUAAUAACGCAUAAUAUCAGAUGAGCCUCGGUCGGAUUAGCUAGUUGGUGGGGUAAAGGACUACCAAGGCGACGAUCCGUAACUGGUCGGAGAGGAUGAUCAGUCACACUGGAACUGAGACACGGCCCAGACUCCUACGGGAGGCAGCAGUGGGGAAUAUUGGACAAUGGGCGAAAGCCUGAUCGAGCCAUGCCGCGUGUGUGAAGAAGGUCUUCGGAUUGUAAAGCUCUUUAAUUGGGGAAGCGGUACCAACAGAAUAAGCACCGGCUAACUACGUGCCAGCAGCCGCGGUAAUAC
rnacentral:rRNA from 1 species